rnacentral:lncRNA from 1 species
UAAGAUGGGUCCUCUCUUCGUAGGCUAAUGCAUUGGCCCUUUUUUGACCCGUUUUGGGGCGAAAACAAAAACUGACUCCCGGGCAUAUUUUUUUCGGCCUUUAUGGGCAAAGAACUUUAAUACCGCUCAAAAUGAGGCCACCCAGUAGUUAGGUGUGAAUUUUCGAGACCUCUGGCAUCGUUCUAAGAUGGGUCCUCUCUUCGUAGGCUAAUGCAUUGGCCCUUUUUUGACCCGUUUUGGGGCGAAAACAAAAACUGACUCCCGGGCAUAUUUUUUUCGGCCUUUAUGGGCAAAGAACUUUAAUACCGCUCAAAAUGAGGCCACCCAGUAGUUAGGUGUGAAUUUUCGAGACCUUUGGCAUCGUUCUAAGAUGGGUCCUCUCUUCGUAGGCUAAUGCAUUGGCCCUUUUUUGACCCGUUUUGGGGCGAAAACAAAAAACUGACUCCCGGCAUAUUUUUUUCGGCCUUUAUGGGCAAAGAACUUUAGUACCCGCUCAAAAUGAGGCCACCCAGUAGUUAGGUGUGAAUUUUCGAGACCUUUGGCAUCGUUCUAAGAUGGGUCCUCUCUUCGUAGGCUAAUGCAUUGGCCCUUUUUUGACCCCUUUUUGGGGCGAAAACAAAAACUGACUCCCGAGCAUAUUUUUUUCGGCCUUUAUGGGCAGAGAACUUUAGUACCGCUCAAAAUGAGGCCACCCAGUAGUUAGGUGUGAAUUUUCGAGACCUUUGGCAUCGUUCUAAGAUGGGUCCUCUCUUCGUAGGCUAAUGCAUUGGCCCUUUUUUGACCCGUUUUGGGGCGAAAACAAAAACUGACUCCCGGGCAUAUUUUUUUCGGCCUUUAUGGGCAAAGAACUUUAGUACCGCUCAAAAUGAGGCCACCCAGUAGUUAGGUGUGAAUUUUCGAGACCUUUGGCAUCGUUCUAAGAUGGGUCCUCUCUUCGUAGGCUAAUGCAUUGGCCCUUUUUUGACCACCGUUUUGGGGCGAAAAACAAAAACUGACUCCCGGGCAUAUUUUUUUCGGCCUUUAUGGGCAAAGAACUUUAGUACCGCUCAAAAUGAGGCCACCCAGUAGUUAGGUGUGAAUUUUCGAGACCUUUGGCACCGUUCUAAGAUGGGUCCUCUCUUCGUAGGCUAAUGCAUUGGCCCUUUUUUGACCCGUUUUGGGGCGAAAACAAAAACUGACUCCCGGGCAUAUUUUUUUCGGCCUUUAUGGGCAAAGAACUUUAAGUACCGCUCAAAAUGAGGCCACCCAGUAGUUAGGUGUGAAUUUUCGAGACCUUUGGCAUCGUUCUAAGAUGGGUCCUCUCUUCGUAGGCUAAUGCAUUGGCCCUUUUUUGACCCGUUUUGGGGCGAAAACAAAAACUGACUCCCGGGCAUAUUUUUUUCGGCCUUUAUGGGCAGAGAACUUUAGUACCGCUCAAAAUGAGGCCACCCAGUAGUUAGGUGUGAAUUUUCGAGACCUUUGGCAUCGUUCUAAGAUGGGUCCUCUCUUCGUAGGCUAAUGCAUUGGCCUUUUUUGACCCGUUUUGGGGCGAAAACAAAAACUGACUCCCGGGCAUAUUUUUUUCGGCCUUUAUGGGCAAAGAACUUUAGUACCGCUCAAAAUGAGGCCACCCAGUAGUUAGGUGUGAAUUUUCGAGACCUUUGGCACCGUUCUAAGAUGGGUCCUCUCUUCGUAGGCUAAUGCAUUGGCCCUUUUUGACCCGUUUUGGGGCGAAAACAAAAACUGACUCCCGGGCAUAUUUUUUUCGGCCUUUAUGGGCAAAGAACUUUAGUACCGCUCAAAAUGAGGCCACCCAGUAGUUAGGUGUGAAUUUUCGAGACCUUUGGCACCGUUCUAAGAUGGGUCCUCUCUUCGUAGGCUAAUGCAUUGGCCCUUUUUUGACCCGUUUUGGGGCGAAAACAAAAACUGACUCCCGGGCAUAUUUUUUUCGGCCUUUAUGGGCAAAGAACUUUAGUACCGCUCAAAAUGAGGCCACCCAGUAGUUAGGUGUGAAUUUUCGAGACCUUUGGCAUCGUUCUAAGAUGGGUCCUCUCUUCGUAGGCUAAUGCAUUGGCCCUUUUUUGACCCGUUUUGGGGCGAAAACAAAAACUGACUCCCGGGCAUAUUUUUUUCGGCCUUUAUGGGCAGAGAACUUUAGUACCGCUCAAAAUGAGGCCACCCAGUAGUUAGGUGUGAAUUUUCGAGACCUUUGGCAUCGUUCUAAGAUGGGUCCUCUCUUCGUAGGCUAAUGCAUUGGCCCUUUUUUGACCCGUUUUGGGGCGAAAACAAAAACUGACUCCCGGGCAUAUUUUUUUCGGCCUUUAUGGGCAGAGAACUUUAGUACCGCUCAAAAUGAGGCCACCCAGUAGUUAGGUGUGAAUUUUCGAGACCUUUGGCAUCGUUCUAAGAUGGGUCCUCUCUUCGUAGGCUAAUGCAUUGGCCCUUUUUUGACCCCUUUUUGGGGCGAAAACAAAAACUGACUCCCGAGCAUAUUUUUUUCGGCCUUUAUGGGCAAAGAACUUUAGUACCGCUCAAAAUGAGGCCACCCAGUAGUUAGGUGUGAAUUUUCGAGACCUUUGGCAUCGUUCUAAGAUGGGUCCUCUCUUCGUAGGCUAAUGCAUUGGCCCUUUUUUGACCCGUUUUGGGGCGAAAACAAAAACUGACUCCCGGGCAUAUUUUUUUCGGCCUUUAUGGGCAAAGAACUUUAGUACCGCUCAAAAUGAGGCCACCCAGUAGUUAGGUGUGAAUUUUCGAGACCUUUGGCAUCGUUCUAAGAUGGGUCCUCUCUUCGUAGGCUAAUGCAUUGGCCCUUUUUUGACCCGUUUUGGGGCGAAAACAAAAACUGACUCCCGGGCAUAUUUUUUUCGGCCUUUAUGGGCAAAGAACUUUAGUACCGCUCAAAAUGAGGCCACCCAGUAGUUAGGUGUGAAUUUUCGAGACCUUUGGCAUCGUUCUAAGAUGGGUCCUCUCUUCGUAGGCUAAUGCAUUGGCCCUUUUUUGACCCGUUUUGGGGCGAAAAACAAAAACUGACUCCCGGGCAUAUUUUUUUCGGCCUUUAUGGGCAAAGAACUUUAGUACCGCUCAAAAUGAGGCCACCCAGUAGUUAGGUGUGAAUUUUCGAGACCUUUUGGCAUCGUUCUAAGAUGGGUCCUCUCUUCGUAGGCUAAUGCAUUGGCCUUUUUUGACCCGUUUUGGGGCGAAAAACAAAAACUGACUCCCGGGCAUAUUUUUUUCGGCCUUUAUGGGCAAAGAACUUUAGUACCGCUCAAAAUGAGGCCACCCAGUAGUUAGGUGUGAAUUUUCGAGACCUUUGGCAUCGUUCUAAGAUGGGUCCUCUCUUCGUAGGCUAAUGCAUUGGCCCUUUUUUGACCCGUUUUGGGGCGAAAACAAAAACUGACUCCCGGGCAUAUUUUUUUCGGCCUUUAUGGGCAGAGAACUUUAGUACCGCUCAAAAUGAGGCCACCCAGUAGUUAGGUGUGAAUUUUCGAGACCUUUGGCAUCGUUCUAAGAUGGGUCCUCUCUUCGUAGGCUAAUGCAUUGGCCCUUUUUUGACCCGUUUUGGGGCGAAAACAAAAACUGACUCCCGGGCAUAUUUUUUUCGGCCUUUAUGGGCAAAGAACUUUAGUACCGCUCAAAAUGAGGCCACCCAGUAGUUAGGUGUGAAUUUUCGAGACCUUUGGCAUCGUUCUAAGAUGGGUCCUCUCUUCGUAGGCUAAUGCAUUGGCCCUUUUUGACCCGUUUUGGGGCGAAAACAAAAACUGACUCCCCCGGGCAUAUAUUUUUUCGGCCUUUAUGGGCAAAGAACUUUAGUACCGCUCAAAAUGAGGCCACCCAGUAGUUAGGUGUGAAUUUUCGAGACCUUUGGCAUCGUUCUAAGAUGGGUCCUCUCUUCGUAGGCUAAUGCAUUGGCCCUUUUUUGACCCGUUUUGGGGCGAAAACAAAAACUGACUCCCGGGCAUAUAUUUUUUCGGCCUUUAUGGGCAAAUAACUUUAGUACCGCUCAAAAUGAGGCCACCCAGUAGUUAGGUGUGAAUUUUCGAGACCUUUGGCAUCGUUCUAAGAUGGGUCCUCUCUUCGUAGGCUAAUGCAUUGGCCCAUUUUUGACCCGUUUUGGGGCGAAAACAAAAAACUGACUCCCGGGCAUAUUUUUUUCGGCCUUUAUGGGCAGAGAACUUUAGUACCGCUCAAAAUGAGGCCACCCAGUAGUUAGGUGUGAAUUUUCGAGACCUUUGGCAUCGUUCUAAGAUGGGUCCUCUCUUCGUAGGCUAAUGCAUUGGCCCUUUUUUGACCCGUUUUGGGGCGAAAACAAAAACUGACUCCCGGGCAUAUUUUUUUCGGCCUUUAUGGGCAAAGAACUUUAGUACCGCUCAAAAUGAGGCCACCCAGUAGUUAGGUGUGAAUUUUCGAGACCUUUGGCAUCGUUCUAAGAUGGGUCCUCUCUUCGUAGGCUAAUGCAUUGGCCCUUUUUUGACACGUUUUGGGGCGAAAACAAAAACUGACUCCCGGGCAUAUUUUUUUCGGCCUUUAUGGGCAAAGAACUUUAGUACCGCUCAAAAUGAGGCCACCCAGUAGUUAGGUGUGAAUUUUCGAGACCUUUGGCAUCGUUCUAAGAUGGGUCCUCUCUUCGUAGGCUAAUGCAUUGGCCCUUUUUUGACCCGUUUUGGGGCGAAAACAAAAACUGACUCCCGGGCAUAUUUUUUUCGGCCUUUAUGGGCAAAGAACUUUAGUACCGCUCAAAAUGAGGCCACCCAGUAGUUAGGUGUGAAUUUUCGAGACCUUUGGCAUCGUUCUAAGAUGGGUCCUCUCUUCGUAGGCUAAUGCAUUGGCCUUUUUUGACCCGUUUUGGGGCGAAAACAAAAACUGACUCCCGGGCAUAUUUUUUUCGGCCUUUAUGGGCAAAGAACUUUAGUACCGC